rnacentral:rRNA from 1 species
AUUGAACGCUGGCGGCAGGCCUAACACAUGCAAGUCGAACGAGUGGCGGACGGGUGAGUCAUGCCUGGGAAACUGCCCGAUGGAGGGGGAUUACUACUGGAAACGGUAGCUAAUACCGCAUACCAUCGGAUGUGCCCCGAUGGGAUUAGCUAGUAGGCGGGGUAACGGCUCACCUAGGCGACGAUCCCUAGCUGGUCUGAGAGGAUGACCAGCCACACUGGAACUGAGGCGCAGUCCAGACUCCUACGGUAGGCAACAGUGGGUAAUAUUGCGCAAUGGGCGCGAGCCUAAUGCAGCCAUGCGGCGUGUAUGAAGAAGGCCGUCGGGUUGUAAAGUACUUUCAGCGAGGGGGCGUUACUCGCAGAAGAAGCACCGGCUAACUCCGUGCCAGCAGCCGCGGUAAUAC